rnacentral:rRNA from 1 species
ACGGAAGGCAGCAGUGGGGAAUAUUGGACAAUGGGGGUAACCCUGAUCCAGCGACGCCGCGUGAGUGAAGAAGUAUUUCGGUAUGUAAAGCUCUAUCAGCAGGGAAGAUGAUGACGGUACCUGACUAAGAAGCCCCGGCUACUACGUGCCAGCAGCCGCGGUAAUACGUAGGGGGCAAGCGUUAUCCGGAUUUACUGGGUGUAAAGGGAGCGUAGGCGGUCAGACAAGUCAGAUGUGAAAGCCCGGGGCUCAACACCGGGACUGCAUUUGAAACUGUAGGACUAGAGUACUGGAGAGGCAAGCGGAAUUCCUAGUGUAGCGGUGAAAUGCGUAGAUAUUAGGAGGAACACCGGUGGCGAAGGCGGCUUGCUGGACGAUAACUGACGCUGAGGCUCGAAAGCGUGGGGAGCAAACAGGAUUAGAUACCCUGGUA